GGAGGAGUGGCAUAGCUCAGUGGUAGAGCAUCUGUUUUGGAUGCUGAAGGUCCCAAGCUCUAUUCUCAGCAUCUCCU